GGAGGAUGGGGGUGGGGGUGGGGGUGGGGGUAAGGGGCGGAGAGCUCUGGGGAAGGAGUUGGAGGAGGAGGAGGGUGGAGACCGAGAGCAGGGACUGGCAGGCGAGUCAGUGGCUAGCUGAGAGGUACCCCGAGAGGGAGGCGCGUGGAGCUAGGAGUUGAGCUGACAACCCACAUGUCAAAUCCACUUUAGGACAAACUAGGUCAAGCUCCAUCCCGAGCCAGGGGUUUCCCCGCCCCCGCGGGGCACCGGCUAGGGGUAGCCCGCUCUGGUUCUAGCUGAGCUGGGGUAUAGUCUUCUUCCUCUUCCUGGUCCUGGGAGUCUGGGAGCGAGGGAAGACCGCCUCUAAGCGUUUCCCUUUCCUCUCGUCUCUCCCUCUAGUCAUCUCCUUUACCUAUCCUAGUGCCUAGGUACUCCAUAGAGGAAUUACGUUUAUUCAGAACUUAUUAACUGUUCUCUCGGUGGGAAAACUGUUUUUACCGCGCUUUCACUCCUCCCCACCCCCAUCGCCAGUUUCCAAUCCUCUUGCUAACCAGCCGGUCAUAUCUGCUAUUUCUAAAAUCUUGUAAACAAAAGAGAUGUGGUGGAAGCGGAGAUGAGGGAGUCCUGGGAUGGCGGUGAACUAAGACUGGCGCUUAUUGCCUCACAAGGACCGGGGAAGGAAAUUGUGCAGCUAUCCUUGGAGAGUUUUCUUUUUCCUCUGUGCCUCAGGGAAGCAAGAUUGGAAAGAAAACCUAGGGUCACUUACCUCUUGGUGCAGGAGAGUAUGUUGCAGCGGUUUGGUGGUCCUGCCUAGUUGCCUUCCUGGAAAACUCCCUCAACCUGUCAGAGUGAGAGGCAAAUUGUGGCAAGCCACUCGAGAAAGAGAUCAGGUGAGUAUUCUGCAGGUGUGGGCUGCACUGUUACCACACCUGGGCUACGCCACCCUUAUUACAAGCCUAAACAUACAACUUUCACCCUUACUCUCAGAUGUCAUAUGGGGACAAACCCUGCAAGGGCUUAAGGACAGCUG
rnacentral:lncRNA from 1 species